AGAUGAGUUUGCUAGGAAGAUUUCUCCAUUAGAUUGGCUGAAUAAAGUUUUGAAGCCUUUGGAACCUCCUGCAGAUGUGUCUGCAGGGAGGACUUUUCCUGUUCCUUUGCUGGUUCCUUCACCGAAGCCAGGCUCCCAUCGCAGCGGUCCUCUGAGAGGGAAGGACAAAGCCACAGGGCACAAGAAAGCGCAUGAGCCAAAUAACAUGGUGACGGAACUGCACAAAGGGA